rnacentral:rRNA from 1 species
GGGUUGUGAGGUUAAGCGACUAAGCGUACACGGUGGAUGCCCUGGCAGUCAGAGGCGAUGAAGGACGUGCUAAUCUGCGAUAAGCGGCGUUAAGGUGAUAUGAACCGUUAUAAC